rnacentral:rRNA from 1 species
UACGGGGGGGGCAAGCGUUGUUCGGAAUUACUGGGCGUAAAGGGCUCGUAGGUUGCCAACUAAGUCAGACGUGAAAUCCCUCGGCUUAACCGGGGAACUGCGUCUGAUACUGGAUGGCUUGAGUUCGGGAGAGGGAUGCGGAAUUCCAGGUGUAGCGGUGAAAUGCGUAGAUAUCUGGAGGAACACCGGUGGCGAAGGCGGCAUCCUGGACCGACACUGACACUGAGGAGCGAAAGCAUGGGGAGCAAACAGG